AUGGAGGCUGCAGCGGCCACCGUUUUUGUCGGUAGGAUCGCACCAAAGCUCAUAGAGUUCUUAGCUGCAAAUCACAAGCUUCGGCAGAACUUGGAGCAUGACAUCACCUACAUCCAAAGAGAGUUUGCGUUCAUUUCUGCCGCCAUUCAGCAAGACGAUGACUGUCGCUGGAGGAGUGGCCGCAGGACUGACCAGGUGCAGAGAGCCUGGAUCCAAAUUAUACGCGACUUGGCGCACGCCAUCGAAGACUGCAUCGACCGCUUCACGCCCCGCGUGGCGAUAUCCAAUAAGUCGCCAAUUCAGAAGUUGAAGACAAGGAAGGCCCGUAAUGAGUUUGCCGAGGCAAUCGGCAAGCUCAAGAAGAUAUCAAAGGAGUCAUCCAAGCUGAGAACAACUUAUGGUACUUCCACCUCCUCCUCAGCUUCGUCGUCGCCAAUGGCAUCUGAGACGAUAGAGAUUGAGACGAAUGACUUCCAUUCUGCUAACAGCCCUGUGGGUAUGGACGCACAACGGGAUGAGCUUCUGGAGCUGAUCCAGCAGGAGCAGCAGCAACUCAAGGUGAUCUCCAUUGUUGGCUUCGGUGGCAUAGGCAAGACUCUCCUUGCCAGACAUGUAUAUGAGAGUAUGAGCCAAUACGAAGCGCGGGCUUGGGUUAGUGCCACGGAGCAACAACGCCCAAUGGAUGUUCUCAUUGAGAUAACCCAGAAACUUGGCAUCACCACAUCCAUUGAUGGCGGAGGUCGUUCCAGCAACCCCUGCGAACUCCUAAGAUCUCACCUUGGGACCAAGAGGUUCUUCAUUGUAAUUGAUGAUGUACGGACAGAAUUUUGGCACGCUAUAAAAUAUGCCUUUGAGGGGUUGAGCGGCAGAGUUAUAGUGACGACAGCCAUUCAGUCAGUAGCAAAUGCAUGCAGCAGCUCUGCUCAUAGUCAUGUGUACAUAAUGAGAACUCUUACCGAGACAUACUCAAGAAGGUUAUUCUACAAGGAAUCUUUGGGCCAAGAUGACGAUCGGGAGGAUCAGCUUGGCUCAGAAGCGCUGCAGAAGUGUGACGGUCUACCCCUUGCUCUUGUUACCACUGCCCGGUACUUGCAAAGCACAGAUAGUCCGACACGGGAAAACUGGGCAAAAUUGUGCCACAACCUUGGAGCACAUCUGGAAACAAAUGAGAUGUUAGCAAGACUUAAGCAUGUGCUUGUUCAUAGCUAUACCAGCCUUGUUAAACAUGAUCUCAAGACAUGUCUGCUAUAUUUAGGUAUCUACCCAAGUGGUCGUAAGGUCAGGAGAAGAAGCCUGAUAAGGAAAUGGUUAGCUGAAGGGUUUAUCCAAGGUGAUUAUAUAUGUAGCGCCUUGGAUGCCGCUAUCGGCAAUUUCAAUGAGCUGGUCAACCGGAGUAUCAUCCAACCUACAGAUCAAGGUGCCAGCAGGAGCAAAAACAGCACAGAGGUGAAGACAUACCAUACUCACGGCAUGAUGCUUGAGUUCAUCGUGCACAUGUCCAAGUGUGAAAACUUCAUUACAUUGUUAUAUGAUCAGCUGGCUCGCCCAACCCCAACCAGCAAAAUCCGCUGGCUUUCUGUGCAUGAUGCAAGUGCCAGCGUAGCAGCCAAUGAUCUAUCUCUUGUCCGGUCUCUGACAGUCUUUGGCAGUGCGCACAAAUCUGUCUUAGAUUUUUCAAAGUAUGAACUGCUGCGAGUUCUGGAUCUAGAAGAAUGCGGUAACCAGUUGGAGGACAAGCAUCUCAAAGAGAUAUGCAGGAACCUGUUGUUGCUCAGGUAUCUAAGCCUCGGGUCCGCUGUUAAGGCACUUCCAAAGGAGAUCAAGAAGCUUCGAUUCUUGGAGACACUAGAUGUAAGAAGAACACAAAUAGAGAUUCUGCCCACUGAAGUCAUUAAGCUUCCAUGCCUGAUUCAUCUGCUUGGAAAGUUCAAACUGCAACAUGGUGUAGGAGGCCGGAAAAUGCUCAAGCUACAGACUUGGUUCUCAGAGAGUAGCAAAUUGGAAACUGUGGCAGGAUUUGUUGUGGACAGCAACAACAAUAGCCAAGGAUUUGAACAGCUCAUGGAGCAUAUGAAACACUUGACAAAGGUGAAAAUAUGGUACAAGCAAUCCACUAAUAGUAUUACGGAUCCCAUUGCAAGGCGCCGAUACUUGAGUUGUCUAUCUGACGCCAUUAAAGGGUUUAUCAAGAGAAGCACCGACUUGAAAAAAGCUCAUUCACUCUCACUGAAUUUCGCUGAUGGAUGUUUUCAAGACUUGCUGAAUUUCUCCCUGGAAAAACAAGAUUCCUCGCCAAGCUGCUAUCUUAGCUCACUGAAGCUACAUGGGAACUAUAUAUGCAGCCUGCCUCCAUUUAUUACAAUGCUGGGCAGUCUCACAAAACUGUGCCUUUCAUUCCCACAUUAUCAGCUGACCAGGGAUAUUCUUGCUGCCCUGAGCAGAGUGCGCUGCUUGGCGUACCUGAAGUUGAUCGCAUCUCAACUGGACAAGCUUGUCAUCUUAGAAGGUGCACUCGAAAGCCUGAGACACCUAUGCAUCGUGGUGGAAGUCAUGACUGAGCUGGAAGUCGAAGAGGGAGCUCUGCCGCUCCUUGAGUCGCUCUACCUACUGUGUAAGGAUAUAAAUGGAUUUAGAGGCACAAUGAUCCAAUCCCUGCGACGUAUUAAGGAGGUCACCCUCCAUGAUGGAGUAAGCGAUGAAACAAAACACGAGUGGAAAGAAGCAGCAAAAAAGCACCCCAGACAUCCCAAGCUCUUGUUUGUUAAGACAGCUGAAGAUAUUCAUAUGGGAAGUGAACCUGCAGACAAUUCUGAGAGCACAGCGGCACCAACUACUAGUACGACAUUAUCAGUGACAGUGCCCCAUGAUGCCAUUUCUACUGGACAAUCUGUACAAGUUGAUGGCGAUGAUCUGCAAAGUUAUGAUGAUGAGAAAGAAGACAUGUAUAUUGAUAUCAUAGAGGAUUUUGCUAGCAAAACUUGUCUGGACCCUCUUAUAAACAAGGAAAAAUUGGAACAGGAGAUGGAAGGAGAAGUAGGUUUAAAGAAUCAGCAGAUUGAAGAUGUCAUUCGGUCUACUCAUCAGGCUGAUCAAAAUGGUGUACUUUUGGUGAUGAGUGAGAACACAAGAAAGAGGGCAAGGUUGGAUAUUGCUGAAGACAACUUAAUGGACAAGGUUGUUGAUAGGGUGAAGCGCAAGAAGCCACAGGAUGUCCCAGGUAAUUUACAAGUUCCCUCUUAG
rnacentral:rRNA from 1 species